UACGGGGGGGGCAAGCGUUGUUCGGAAUUACUGGGCGUAAAGGGCUCGUAGGUGGUCAACUAAGUCGGACGUGAAAUCCCUCGGCUUAACCGGGGAACUGCGUCCGAUACUGGAUGACUUGAGUUCGGGAGAGGGAUGCGGAAUUCCAGGUGUAGCGGUGAAAUGCGUAGAUAUCAGGAGGAACACCUGUGGCGAAAGCGGCUCACUGGACCACAACUGACGCUGAGGCGCGAAAGCUAGGGGAGCAAACAGG
rnacentral:rRNA from 1 species